CCUGGCUCCGUUGAGCGCUGGCGGCGCGCCUAACACAUGCAAGUCGAACGAGAGAUGAGGAGCUUGCUCUUCAAAUCGAGUGGCGAACGGGUGAGUAACGCGUGAGGAACCUGCCUCAAAGAGGGGGACAACAGUUGGAAACGACUGCUAAUACCGCAUAAGCCCACAGCUCGGCAUCGAGCAGAGGGAAAAGGAGCAAUCCGCUUUGAGAUGGCCUCGCGUCCGAUUAGCUAGUUGGUGAGGUAACGGCCCACCAAGGCAACGAUCGGUAGCCGGACUGAGAGGUUGAACGGCCACAUUGGGACUGAGACACGGCCCAGACUCCUACGGGAGGCAGCAGUGGGGAAUAUUGCACAAUGGGGGAAACCCUGAUGCAGCGACGCCGCGUGGAGGAAGAAGGUCUUCGGAUUGUAAACUCCUGUUGUUGAGGAAGAUAAUGACGGUACUCAACAAGGAAGUGACGGCUAACUACGUGCCAGCAGCCGCGGUAAAACGUAGGUCACAAGCGUUGUCCGGAAUUACUGGGUGUAAAGGGAGCGCAGGCGGGAGAACAAGUUGGAAGUGAAAUCCAUGGGCUCAACCCAUGAACUGCUUUCAAAACUGUUUUUCUUGAGUAGUGCAGAGGUAGGCGGAAUUCCCGGUGUAGCGGUGGAAUGCGUAGAUAUCGGGAGGAACACCAGUGGCGAAGGCGGCCUACUGGGCACCAACUGACGCUGAGGCUCGAAAGUGUGGGUAGCAAACAGGAUUAGAUACCCUGGUAGUCCACACCGUAAACGAUGAUUACUAGGUGUUGGAGGAUUGACCCCUUCAGUGCCGCAGUUAACACAAUAAGUAAUCCACCUGGGGAGUACGACCGCAAGGUUGAAACUCAAAGGAAUUGACGGGGGCCCGCACAAGCAGUGGAGUAUGUGGUUUAAUUCGACGCAACGCGAAGAACCUUACCAAGUCUUGACAUCCCUUGACGAACAUAGAAAUAUGUUUUCUCUUCGGAGCAAGGAGACAGGUGGUGCAUGGUUGUCGUCAGCUCGUGUCGUGAGAUGUUGGGUUAAGUCCCGCAACGAGCGCAACCCUUAUGGUCAGUUACUACGCAAGAGGACUCUGGCCAGACUGCCGUUGACAAAACGGAGGAAGGUGGGGAUGACGUCAAAUCAUCAUGCCCUUUAUGACUUGGGCUACACACGUACUACAAUGGCGUUAAACAAAGAGAAGCAAGACCGCGAGGUGGAGCAAAACUCAGAAACAACGUCCCAGUUCGGACUGCAGGCUGCAACUCGCCUGCACGAAGUCGGAAUUGCUAGUAAUCGUGGAUCAGCAUGCCACGGUGAAUACGUUCCCGGGCCUUGUACACACAG
rnacentral:rRNA from 1 species